GAUGAACGCUGGCGGCGUGCCUAAUACAUGCAAGUCGAGCGAAUGGAUUAGGAGCUUGCUCUUAUGAGGUUAGCGGCGGACGGGUGAGUAACACGUGGGUAACCUGCCCAUAAGACUGGGAUAACUCCGGGAAACCGGGGCUAAUACCGGAUAACAUUUUGAACCGCAUGGGUCGAAAUUGAAAGGAGGCUUUGGCUGUCACUUAUGGAUGGACCCGCGUCGCAUUAGAUAGUUGGUGAGGGGACGGCUCACCAAGGCAACGAUGCGUAGCCGACCUGAGAGGGUGAUCGGCCACACUGGGACUGAGACACGGCCCAGACUCCUACGGGAGGCAGCAGUAGGGAAUCUUCCGCAAUGGACGAGAGUCUGACGGAGCAACGCCGCGUGAGUGAUGAAGGCUUUCGGGUCGUAAAACUCUGUUGUUAGGGAAGAACAAGUGCUAGUUGAAUAAGCUGGCACCUUGACGGUACCUAACCAGAAAGCCACGGCUAACUACGUGCCAGCCGCCGCCGUAA
rnacentral:rRNA from 1 species